GUCCUAGUAGCUUAAGCCAAAGCAUUGGUCUUGUAAACCAAAAAUGAGGCACCGCCUCCAAGGAUA
rnacentral:tRNA from 1 species